GGAUGAUAAGCUUAGGAUUUGUAGUGGUGGCACUUGCGGAUCUCUGAGAAAUACUAUUUUUAUUUUUUGUUUGCAGGAUUAGAAGGGCGUCCAUUGCUGUCGUCCAUUCCUCAUGUCGUGUGCUCCACCAUUCCUUUAGAGGAUAGGCAGAUUCUUAUUAUAAGCUUUGGCAGCCACAGACACAGACACAACAGAGGUACCGUUUACACAUACUUGGUUCGGAUGACAUGGGUGAGGCUGAAUUUACUUUUAUUGGAAGACUUGCUCAGGAUAUCACUGGCGUUUCACCUCAAGAAGCUAUACUGAAUAAUUACCAAGGCAUCAUUCCAAUUGCUAAUCUAGCUAUUGCAUCUGCACAAAUUAGGCAUACAUCCCUAAGUUGGGUGCCGCUGUAUCCUACAAAUAUCAGUUCCUUAUAUGCGUGACAGCCAACAGUUUCCAAAGUGAGCUGGGCAUCGUUAAAUGUUCGCACAGUUGAAGCAUGUUAUUCACCUGAGUGAGGAAAAACUCUACCAGGGUAAUCAAUAACCUAGCAUAUUCUAUCUGAGACGUUCCAAUCCUUUGCGGAAAGAGUGUGCCUUCUAAUAUGCAAUUAUCAAUAUUGACAAGUAACUGAAGUGCCUGGUGUUAUUACUUUUGUAUGCUUCUCCUUAUGUUAGUUGUAUCUAAGAGCUUCAAAUGGAAGACUCCAAAUAGCAUGCUUGUAUGUAACACUCACAGCAUGCUUAUAUUUAACAACUUUCAAAUAAUGUCUUCAAAUAGUAUCUUCUAUUGUAUAAAGAUGGUAAUGUAAUCCGAGCAUUUAAGAACAAUAUAUUUUCGUAUAUUACUGAUGUUCUAUUUGUAUAGGUUUGUCAGUUUGUAUUGGAAGCUGCUAAUUUGAAGUCAUGUGAUAGCAACUGAUGUUUGUUCAUACUUGACAAUCACAUAGAUAAGUAAAGUAUCUCUCACCGGGGGUUAAAGUUACAAUAGUGCUUCUUGAAAUAAGAAAAAGAAAACCUAGGAAGUAUCUUCUCUCUUUUUUCCGAAAUUUUGUCCCCAGCAGUUACUUGAGCAUGUUGCCAGUUUCGUACUUCUGACUUUGUUAAAUUAUCCAGCGACCUCUGUUCUACGGAUUGAAGAUGGGGCUUCUACCAUAUAUGAGAAGGCCUCUAAGGGUGUCCCUGCAGGCCUUCUGCCUUUCAUUUGUCCUGAUUUUUAUUCCUCCUUGGCAAUUCAGAAUUGGAGGAUCCAUUGGAAGCCGAUUAUCACCCAAAUCAGUAUUUUUAUGGUGACCACAGACGUUUCCUUCUGUUGGGAAAUAAGCCAUCAUUUUGUCCAGGUUGUGCAUAUAAGAAGGUGCAGUUUUACUCCACCUUAGAACACUUGCCGCUGCAGAAACUAAUCCUGCUGAUUAUAUCCCUGAAACAUUGGAACUAAGUGCUCCACGGUCGCUCAUGCAGUAUCUUGCCUUCCAAGAUUAGUGUGUAGUAUCUGAAUGUAACAUAGAACCUUGGCGUUGGGGUGCCUUUUUCGAGGAAUAUGGUGAAACUGACAAAAGAAUUAUGACAGCCUGUUGAAGCGGCUUGCGGACUUCACUUCAAAUAUUGUUGGAGCGCUCAAAGUUGUUUGGCACCUCCAGCUUGUCCCUUGGAGAGUCACAAAUUUGGGAUCAAAUUUGGGGACGACAGACCUGCGCUCGGCAGCCCUCCUCCAUCAGCCUCGGACUGCCAUGGCUUGCAGGAACAGCUGACACCCGCGGCCAAUAUGGUCAACGACGUGGCUGCUUGCCUUCUGUGCGCUAGCCUUGUGGGGCACCACGGCGUAGGGAGCUGAUGACUUGAAGCGGCAGGAGCCAACGGCCGGACGUCGGGUGGUUAGGAGGUGAGGGAAGAAUAAAAAAGGGGCCGUCAGAUGGGUGCCGCCUGUAGCGUUGAUGCUCUUCUCUCCAAGAAAUUCGCCUCCACGGCUGCUUUGCGGAUGGAGUUCCCGGUGGCUUGUCCGUAUGGUUGAUGGAUGCUGAAGAUUAGGAUGGGGUUGCUGAUGCUUGAGAUGGGGUGAAUCUUGGGGAACUUCCUUGGAUUGCAUGGAUAUGAAUGGACUGAUCCUGGGGUGUAUGUCUACUGAAUCUACAUCAUCUGCGCCCCUUCUGAUGAAAUCAGGAGCUGACCUGUGGAGCUUUAUUGGGAUGAUCGAGAAUACCUUGUGGCUCUGUAGGAUUAUUCCUCUAGCUACGUGAAAGCAUUGUUCCCUCUCGAUUGUUCCCAUUUUCUUUUUACGGCUUUGUUACAGAAUUUUGAUGUUGUGACUGCUUUGUUUGGUUGCCUCUUAAUGGAAGGUGGAAAACCCCCUUCAUCUAAAGAAGGGAUGUUAAAGAGGAGGCAUAGUGUUCGUUAAGUGAAAAGUUUCUUGAGAGCGUGCUUUGCCUUUUUCAAUAUACUUGUAGAUUCUUUGUGACUGCUCUUAAUGACUAUUGUUUAUGUUUGUUUAGAAUUUGGAACAUGUGUGUUGAAGAUUAGCGAUUCAGCAUGAUCAUAGAGAUGGAUAUGCACUAAAGUUAGGUGUGCUACAUGCUGCUGCUGAAUUAUACAUGUAUUAACUUUUUUUAAGACAGAUAGGUAUCACACAAUUGAUUGAAAGAUGGGUUUCCCUAAAAAAGAAGGUCCUAGCUGUUGGCUACAACAAAAAAAC